rnacentral:lncRNA from 1 species
CACCUUCACCUUCAAGACCGCCCCACCUUUCCAUCAUCCCACUGGAAACUGGAAAACCCAGUUUUAUUCUCCCGCUCCUGCAGCUGGUGGCCCAGGUGACCAGAAAACCCUUCCAGAGGGGGACAACCCUGGACUCUUGACACAUGUCCAUUACCUGUUGGCUUCCAGGAGGAGCAGGAUAUCCAGCCAACUGCUGGGGGCAGGCAGACAUGUCCAUUACCUGUCGGCUUUCAGGAGUAGGAUAUCCAGCCAACUGCUGGGGGCAGGCAGUAGCUAACUCAUUAAUCAGUAUUUUAACCCUUUAUUUAGGCACAUUUAGCCCUUUAUUUAAGCUUCACAGAAGCUGCUGAUGCCAUCCGCGUUGCUCCUCUGCAGAGGAACACCCACCCCCUGGCAGCAGACCUGGGGUUCACACCAUUAACCACUCUGGGUUUUCAGCCCUUAAUGUUUAAUAUAAAGGUUUAUCUGGCCCCAAAACUUUUUAUCACCUGCUCCUAGCCCAGCCCGAGCAGCAAGUAACAUGGGUCUGAGGUGGGUUUCUGCACCUCUCACCAUCAUACUCAGGAGAGGAGACACGAUUAUCCCACAGGAAUCCCACUUCUGACUCCAACUGAGAGGCACCUGUAGGAGUAUCCACAAUUUCUUUCACAUUCCAGCACUAACGAGGCAAAUCACUCACAAAGAAAUGCACAUCGAGCCAAAAAUAGUUACGUUUAUUUAAUUCUCUCCCACAGCUAGGCAUACAUUUACAAUCAAUCAAUAUUUUGUUUUGUUUUAUUUCCGUAACACAGAUGGACAAAUUCCUGCUCAUGCCCACGUCCCAUGUGCUGUCCCCUCUGCUACUACUAAUUCCCCCUGGAAUGUCCUCCCCACGCUGGAGCCAACUCACACCUUCCCUGGCAGCUGGUACCACGGAUGGCCCCACUGCUGGGGGGGGGAUGUGGGUCCACAGACCAGCUGGUGGCAAGUUCAAGUCCACACGUGGCUUUGUUUUCUUGUAUUCUUAUACAUUGGGCUCCCACCCUUUGAGAACACCCCAAAGGCAGCUCCUUCCUGGUGGGCCAGCCAUCUAGGGUGGCUUUUUUCUUUUUUCGUGGUGCCUUUAAGGCAACACCAAAUUCACCCCAGCCCCAUGGCUUUAUUGGCUUUCCCACUAAGCAGCUGCACAACCCACCACACGACCAGGCGUUUCUUCUCAUUUAUGGGGAUCUUCCAGCCCGUUCUCAUCUCUGGGGCUACAUUUUGACUCCAGAUACCGCAUGAACUGACCCUUAGCUAUCACCUCCAUUUAUUACUGGGGCCAAUUCUCUCAAUAUACUCACCCUCUCCCACUAGACACAUGGAUUCUUUUCUGUUGUCAGCAUCUCGAUGCAAUCAGGCACCAGUAUCUGCAACAAUUAAGAAAAAAAAAUAAUAAAAUUUAGCUUCUGCUCGGUGAGAAGCA